UCUCUGACUUUUAUAUCUAAAUAAGGUGAAUGGCAGUUUGUAGAAGCACGACAGACUAGAGACGAGUGUCAGGGGUGACCUGUGACAGAAGGAUAGCAGCAAGAUUUACAGGGUUUGGAUGCGAUUCAUUCAUUCAUAUUUUAUAUUGUUGGUGUAAUCUUUAGUUACCCUACCUGCGACAAUGUAACUGUAUCUGUACUUUCAGCAAACCAAGCAGGGAAUCGCAAUAUUCUCAAGUCUCUGAAAUGAAUCCCCAAAAGGUUCAUUGACUUAAGUAACAGCUCUGAAAUACCCACCUUAGACACAGCGUUUAACACCGUCACUGUUUCCUCGUUUGGAUACUUCCAGUUUUACGCACGGUUAUACAGUUCCGGUCAAAAAUUUAAGGCCACUUGAAAAAUGGCAAUGAAUCCACACUUUUUGCACAGAUUUGGCCAUUUAAAGGCAUGUGGUCCUAAACUUUUGACCAGCUGUAAAACAGCCUGUUUGCAUGCUCAAAAAAAAGUUUUCUCUCACUCCCACUUCUUCUUGUUGAAUGUUGAAGCUCUACUUGGAAUCUUGUUAAGAUCCAACCAUGCAAAAUAUGAUUUUAUUUAUUGUUGCAAUUUUUCAAGUGGUCUUUAACGUUUGAUCAGGACUGAAUCAAAUUUGACGUGUAACAGCGCCAUAUGGUGGCCAGAGAGGGUAUUGUAUCAGCACAGAAAAGAACUAUCGUUGAUGAUCAGUGGGAAGCACAUCUUGGUGAAACAGAAGUUAAAGACAGUAGUUAUGGACACUAAAAAUGAAUUAAGCAUUUGUUUUAUUACCACGAAGGCCAAAGUGGAAAAAGAUAUGAGCUAUCAGCUGGGCAAUAGCGGAUGAAAUUUGGCCCGUUUUAACCCAGUACCCAAAGCCCACAACACAAACGCACAUGCUUCUAAGAAAGACAUCGAGGAACGAACCUAAACAACUGUGCAAAACAGCACCAAUAAAAAGGUUAAAAAAAUUUACAAACCUGUAAAUAAAUAAAAUUUGUAAAAUAUAUACACCUUUCAGAGGUGAAGAAGUGUUGGCUUAAAAUAGGCUGGUUUCCAACAAGUUUUAUGAAACUGAGUUCAGAUUCACUGGCCUUCUGUGUGUUACAAACACACCACUGUUUGAGAGUGAGCGGGUGUCUGAGGUAGCAGAAGGCUGGCAGCGGGGUUUUUCUCCACCAGGGACCUGAGUGAAAGCAGUGCUGAGUCUCAGGUUGGAUGAAUGAGCAGUAAUUAUAUAUCAGAAAUAAUAGUAAAACCAAAAAACCAAAAACGUAAGUAUUGUUCCCUCAUGCGGGGUAUUUGCACAGAGGUGGAGCGCAGCACCUAUUCUGUCACAUGGAUUCAGACCUGACUGGACGCAACAUUGAGCAGUUACACCCUCUUGUGGUUCAAGUUGGUAUUACAUGAAAGUGCCCCUCUAACACCAAAUCUGAUGAGCUGCAAUCUCACUCACACUGAGCACCUUUAAACAUAUGUUGACAUAAUAUGACAUGCCAGCAUGUUUUGCACUCUUACACGUCUGUUUUAAUUUAGUAUUUUCUAAUUAGUAAUUUUAUUUGACUUGGCUUUUUAGUUUACCAGUGCGGCUAUAAUACAGUAUUCAAAAUACUAGCCUUUACUUUAGUUUUGUUUUUUUGCUUUUUUUCAAAAAUCUAGUUUUUAGUCAACUAUAAUAACCAGGCUCUGAUAUUAACAUAAGCUUCCUUACAUUACAGGACAGGAACCUGCCCGAGGACCUUCAGGUUUUAAGAUUUGAGUCUGAAAUUAAGUGAAAGUUGUUGGGUCAUCCGAUGGUUCUGCAAAAACACAGUUAAAUCUGCAAGCAGCAAGAGUGAACGGGAAGUCUUACAUUUAGUAAUGAAACAGUAAACUAAAUUACAUGGAUAAGAUCAGACAGACAACUGGCGCUUAAGCAGAUUUCUUUACUGAAACGAACACAUGACUUUUUACAAAAUGUUUCAAUGAUAAUCUGGAAGUAUUUUCAUAUUUUCCUUCAAGAGGAGACGACGAGAGUGGACAGCGUCUCUCCUGUGUCGACAGCGGACUGAUGGAGACGGACUCUGUGACACCUGAGGCUCGGCCGGGAGGAGGAGGGGAGCACACAAUCCGUCGGGUCGUUGUUGUACUAAAUAUCAGUGCGCUGCUCCUCCAGAGAGGAUGUCAUCCUGCUGGACAGACUCCAGCUUUGCUGUUGGACUGCAGCUGCUGAUGCUAACGGUUGCUCUGGUCUGGAGAUCUACUGCAAGCUGAAGGGACACCAGAACCAGUAGAAGGAGUACGGGUCCAUCUGCCACUACAUCAAGCUCACUGAGGAUGUUAGAGCUGAACGAGGACUACCGGCUGCAGUCCAAUGAAACUCAAGUCCAUCCACAGGAAGAGGCUCUUUGGAGAAUCAACAGAUUUCACUGAUCUGUUAUUUAUUUGUCCCCAAGUACUUGUAGUGGAAAAUAUUUUGUUUACUGCUGUUACUGAACACAAAACGCCAUAAAAAUACUCCCUAUGUGUCUAAAACCUAUCUAAUCAGAUUAUGAGUCAUCUGAUCAGAGUAAAAAUAUAGGUUAUUGACAGUUUAUAAAUUAUAGAUUUAAGGCAAAGUUUUUGUUUGUCUUAGUUGUUUUUAAGUACCGAUUAAGUAUCAGUACAGAAACUCGGGCGUUCAAGCUGCAUUACAGAUAAACACUGAGGUUGCUGUUUAAAAUAAUCUCCUUGUAACAGAGGUGAUCAGAGUGUCAGUUGGACUGAACACCAGUUCAGAUGUGCUGUAAGGUUUGCCAAUGAAGAGUAACUGUGUAACCUGCA